GAGGUUGUUCUCAAAAUGGACGGGAUAGAUGAUCCCACCGCCAGAAGCAUCGAACCCACUAACGCUGGGAAGAUUGGAGGGAUUCGAGCUGUGGCAAAGAGGAAGAUAAAUGGGUACUAGAAAUUGGGAGUGAAAAUUUUGGGUUUGGUUUUUCUCAAAGUAACGCUACUGCUGCUAGAGAUAGUGCGGCUUCAUUUUCGUCCAUGGAGGAUCCACCCUCGAAGCUGAUUGGUCAAUUUUUACACAAACAAAAAGCAUCCGGUGAGUUUUGCUUGGAUAUG
rnacentral:misc_RNA from 1 species